AAAAAAAUUCCAAUAUGUUCACUGGAAAGAAUUCACAUAUAAGUGGACCCAUGCAGUUCAAACCUGUGUUGUUCAAGGGUCAACUGUAUAAAGAAAACUCCAGGCUCAAAGUGGAUCAACAGCAGAAAACCAGAGUGAACAGUCUAUCUGGAUCAACGCCAAGCUCUCAAGAUAAAAAGUCAAGAUGGAAGGAAAAACUCAUCAGGUUUUCGGUGACCCUCAGUAGAAUUCGUCCAAAUGGACGCCUGAGUAAGAAGAGCAAAUCCACGGGUCUGUGAGCUGGAAGUCUGAAGCCUGUGAGACUUGCUGAUUGGCCAGAUUCUCACCAAGUGUUGCAGUUCUCAUGAGGUCUU